UACGGAGGGGGCUAGCGUUGUUCGGAAUUACUGGGCGUAAAGCGCACGUAGGCGGACUUGAAAGUCAGGGGUGAAAUCCCGGGGCUCAACCCCGGAACUGCCUUUGAAACUGCGAGGCUAGAGGUCGGGAGAGGUGAGUGGAAUUCCGAGUGUAGAGGUGAAAUUCGUAGAUAUUCGGAAGAACACCAGUGGCGAAGGCGGCUCGCUGGAUAAGUAUUGACUCUGAGGUGCGAAAGCGUGGGGAGCAAACAGG
rnacentral:rRNA from 1 species